rnacentral:lncRNA from 1 species
AAGGCCUUUCGCUAGAGUGUCAGGUUAGUCGCUCGUCCUCCCUCAAAGAAGCAAAAGAUCGAUGUUAACAUCGAUAACACUUGGUUGUUGAAGGAAGUGUUUUUUUUUUUGUUGUCGUGUCAAUUGUGGUGGACUUGAUAGUUGUUGAGUCUCCUUGUGACAAUGUUUGAAAAGUUGAGCUCCUACACAUGCAGUAAAGCCUCGGCCUA